UACGUAGGGUCCGAGCGUUGUCCGGAGUUACUGGGCGUAAAGCGCGCGCAGGCGGCGGUGCUGGCCCGGCGUGAAAGCCCCCGGCUCAACCGGGGAGAGUCGUCGGGGACCGCACCGCUUGAGGGCGGUAGGGGCUGGUGGAAUGCCUGGUGUAGUGGUGAAAUGCGUAGAGAUCGGGCAGAACACCUGGGGCGAAGGCGGCCAGCUGGGCCGUCCCUGACGCUGAGGCGCGAAGGCGUGGGGAGCGAACGGG
rnacentral:rRNA from 1 species